rnacentral:rRNA from 1 species
AAUAGAUACCCCGGUAGUCCACGCCGUAAACGAUGAGUGCUAAGUGUUAGAGGGUUUCCGCCCUUUAAUGCUGCAGCUAACGCAUUAAGCACUCCGCCUGGGGAGUACGGCCGCAAGGCUGAAACUCAAAGGAAUUGACGGGGGCCCGCACAAGCGGUGGAGCAUGUGGUUUAAUUCGAAGCAACGCGAAGAACCUUACCAGGUCUUGACAUCCUCUGCCAACCCUAGAGAUAGGGCGUUCCCCUUCGGGGGACAGAGUGACAGGUGGUGCAUGGUUGUCGUCAGCUCGUGUCGUGAGAUGUUGGGUUAAGUCCCGCAACGAGCGCAACCCUUGAUCUUAGUUGCCAGCAUUCAGUUGGGCACUCUAAGGUGACUGCCGGUGACAAACCGGAGGAAGGUGGGGAUGACGUCAAAUCAUCAUGCCCCUUAUGACCUGGGCUACACACGUGCUACAAUGGAUGGUACAAAGAGCUGCGAACCCGCGAGGGUAAGCGAAUCUCAUAAAGCCAUUCUCAGUUCGGA